AUGCAAGUCGAACGGAACUGUUUUGAAAGAUUUCUUCGGAAUGAAUUUGAUUUAGUUUAGUGGCGGACGGGUGAGUAACGCGUGAGUAACCUGCCUUCAAGAGGGGGAUAACAUUCUGAAAAGAAUGCUAAUACCGCAUGACAUAUCGGAAUCACAUGAUUUUGAUAUCAAAGAUUUUAUCGCUUGAAGAUGGACUCGCGUCCGAUUAGUUAGCUGGUGAGGUAACGGCUCACCAAGACCGCGAUCGGUAGCCGGACUGAGAGGUUGAACGGCCACAUUGGGACUGAGACACGGCCCAGACUCCUACGGGAGGCAGCAGUGGGGGAUAUUGCGCAAUGGGGGCAACCCUGACGCAGCAACGCCGCGUGAAGGAUGAAGGUUUUCGGAUUGUAAACUUCUUUUAUUAAGGACGAAAAAUGACGGUACUUAAUGAAUAAGCUCCGGCUAACUACGUGCCAGCAGCCGCGGUAAUACGUAGGGAGCAAGCGUUGUCCGGAUUUACUGGGUGUAAAGGGUGCGUAGGCGGCUUUGCAAGUCAGAUGUGAAAUCUAUGGGCUCAACCCAUAAACUGCAUUUGAAACUGUAGAGCUUGAGUGAAGUA
rnacentral:rRNA from 1 species